GCAAAAGCUAAGAAACAGCAAUGAGUUAAUCAGAGUUCUUGUGGAAGACCAGAGAAGAAUCUCUUCUGGGUAUAAUUUAGACAGAGCUUAGAGGGAAGAAAGAGGUACGUGGCUGCCAUGGGAAGACCGUGACUAGGCUGUUGGGAGAAGAGAAGAAAGGCUGGGGUGUUUUCUGUGGAUAAGUCUAUAGCAGGAGACAGGCCACAGGGAGCCAAGAGCCCAAGAGCCACAGCCAGGAAACUACAUUUAUAUUUUGCAUGAAAAGGGCAGCUUUUAGGGAAGUUUAGGAUGUGUUUUGAAGAGAUCACUCUGAGUAGACUGCAGACUGUAGGUAGAGUUAGCAUGGAUGGAAGCCAGGAAGCUCACUGGAGGCUGUUUCAACAGUGGAAGCCAGAGGUGAUGAGUGCUUGGCUUGGACUGCAGUGGAAGUAAAGAAACUAGUGAGGAGUGCUUGCAUUCUGUAUCUAUACCCAAGGUUGACCAGAUGUAUAGAUGAUUGCUUGUGGCUGGAAGAGAAAUGAAGUGAGCAAGAAUUGCUGGAACAGUAUGAAGGGCCCACCAGAUGACCUCACCAUCUCCAUCAGCGUUUUCAAGGGUUUCUCCAUGUAUCCCUGACUGACCUGGAACUCAACUCUGUAGACCAAUGUGGCCUUGAGCUCAGACAUCCACCUGCCUCUGGAGUACUGGAUUAAAGUGACCGAUCGCUGCUUGGAUUUUAAAGGUUGUCAUCAAUUCAGUCUCAUCUUGGCAUGUUCCUACAUUGACGUGGUUUUAUCAAAGAUCCUCUCAUUGCCGUGGGAAUCGAAGGAAUAUAUAAGCAAACUGCUGUAAAAACAGUAGCUCCUGCAGCUGGCACCAAGAGAAGUCCAAGGUAUUUGCCCUUCAUUUGUUGUCCACAUGUAGCAUCCUGUCAAGUCACAGUGGACCUUUAGGCUGACAUUGACCCUGUUAUCUACAGUGCUACUAAAGAGCUGCGUUUCUGUAGAGUUCGUUUCCUGAGAAAGCUGAAGAGAAAACGGACCUAGCUUGCUGGGUGUCAGAAGACAAUAUCUGAAUGGGAAAAGAUGGACGGCAAAUAAAUUGAUCAAUAAGAAGAUUAAUAAUAAAGUGCCUGCAGACAAUUGAUUUUGGGUGAUAUAAUGAGCGGUAUCCAGGAUUCUUUGUGUAGCUAAAAAAAAAAAAUGCCUGAAGUAGUUUGAUGAGAGCGUGAGGUGGUGCAGACAUGCGUGCUGGAGGUCGGUAGAGUUCCUGCCUGACAGAGUCAACCUGACCUAGAGGGACGAUUCCUGAAGGGCCAUGAGACGACCGGGGGACACUCUGGAACCAGGCACUUUGGAAACAGGAACAGCGUGCGUCAAGGAAGCUGCACUGGGAAGCUUCUCACCCAUCAGGCUAUUUGGUGAGAAGAUUUGGCAGGGACAGGGGAAAAAUACAGACUAAUUUUGUCACUUGCUGAGGUAGAAGGGAUAUUGGGCAGUAACGCCUCCUACUCUGUACAUGUGCAUAUGGAGUCAUAAUCUUUAUUAUUAUUAUUAUUAUUAUUAUUAUUAUUAUUAUCAUCAUUAUCAUCUGCAUGAGUCAGACUGGAGCUAGAUCUCAUUAAAGAGUCCCCAGGGAGUCUGAAGAGGAACUGAGGCAGACUCAUACCAACUCAAGCAUCCUCAUCAGUAGUUAAGGACUUACCCAGAGUCUGGUGCAUUGAACCUCCACUGAAAAGGCUCAGUCUCAAGGAUCAGCGUUGUAUCUGAGACCCUAGCAUCAGCCUAUGACCCCCGGUGUGCUGGUGCACACCUUUAACCCCAGCACUGCCAAGGCAGGUGGGUCUCUGUGAGUUCUAGGCCUAGUCUACAUAGUGAGCUCCAGGCCAGCUAGAACCACGUUGUGAGAUUCCGUCAGAACAAAAACCUCGGUGGUCAAGACUUCAGCCGAGAGGGCUCAAUGGACAUAAAAACAGAAAGAGUGGAUAGUGCUUGAUUAGAAGUUUCCCUGGUGUUAACAUGCAUAUGUAUGGUCCUAUCAUUACAAAGUCCCUGUUUCUUCAUCUUUAAAUGUUUCAGACAGUGAACAUUUAGAUUCAUUUUCUCUCUGUUACCAAUAAAACCAAACCUAUUUUCAAAGUU
ensembl:lncRNA